rnacentral:rRNA from 2 species
GCCUGACGGUGCAUCGCCGCGUGAACGAAGAAGGUUUUCGGAUCGUAAAGUUCUGUUGUGAGGGAAGAACACGUGCCGGUCGAACAGGCCGGCACCUUGACGGUACCUCACGAGAAAGCCCCGGCUAACUACGUGCCAGCAGCCGCGGUAAUACGUAGGGGGCAAGCGUUGUCCGGAAUUAUUGGGCGUAAAGCGCACGCAGGCGGUCUCGUAAGUCUGAUGUGAAAGCCCACGGCUCAACCGUGGAGGGUCAUUGGAAACUGGGAGACUUGAGUGUAGGAGAGGAAAGUGGAAUUCCACGUGUAGCGGUGAAAUGCGUAGAUAUGUGGAGGAACACCAGUGGCGAAGGCGACUUUCUGGCCUACAACUGACGCUGAGGUGCGAAAGCGUGGGGAGCAAACAGGAUUAGAUACCCUGGUAGUCCACGCCGUAAACGUUGAGUGCUAGGUGUUAGGGGUUUCGAUGCCCUUAGUGCCGAAGUUAACACAUUAAGCACUCCGCCUGGGGAGUACGGCCGCAAGGCUGAAACUCAAAGGAAUUGACGGGGGCCCGCACAAGCAGUGGAGCAUGUGGUUUAAUUCGACGCAACGCGAAGAACCUUACCAGGUCUUGACAUCCUUUGCCCGCUCUGGAGACAGAGUUUUCCCCUUCGGGGGACAAAGUGACAGGUGGUGCAUGGUUGUCGUCAGCUCGUGUCGUGAGAUGUUGGGUUAAGUCCCGCAACGAGCGCAACCCUUGACCUUAGUUGCCAGCAUUCAGUUGGGCACUCUAGGGUGACUGCCGGUGACAAACCGGAGGAAGGUGGGGACGACGUCAAAUCAUCAUGCCCCUUAUGACCUGGGCUACACACGUGCUACAAUGGAUGGUACAAAGGGUGGCGAACCCGCGAGGUGGAGCGAAUCC